GGCGGAAUGGCCGAGCGGUCUAAGGCGUUGGAUUUAAGACCCAAUAUCGUAAGAUGCGUGGGUUCGAACCCCACUUCCGUCA
rfam:Strongyloides papillosus strain LIN genome assembly, scaffold: SPAL_scaffold0000014